AGAACGAACGCUGGCGGCAUGCCUAACACAUGCAAGUCGAACGCUCUUGGGGCUUCGGUCUCAGGGGAGUGGCGCACGGGUGAGUAGCGCGUGGGAACCUGCCCUGCUGUGGGGGAUAACCGAGGGAAACUUCGGCUAAUACCGCAUAAGCCGGUUGUCUUGAAGGAGAUGGCCGGGAAAGAUUUAUCGCGACAGGAGGGGCCCGCGUCGGAUUAGCUAGUUGGUGGGGUAACGCCCACCAAGGCGGUGAUCCGUAGCUGGUCUGAGAGGAUGAUCAGCCACACUGGGACUGAGACACGGCCCAGACUCCUACGGGAGGCAGCAGUGGGGAAUAUUGGACAAUGGGCGCAAGCCUGAUCCAGCAAUGCCGCGUGAGUGAUGAAGGCCUUAGGGUUGUAAAGCUCUUUCGCCCGCGACGAUGAUGACGGUAGCGGGAGAGAAGCCCCGGCUAACUUCGUGCCAGCAGCCGC
rnacentral:rRNA from 1 species